rnacentral:lncRNA from 1 species
AUGCAUGAAACUGGGGGGAAAAAAAAAAACGGGAGACUGGAGAAGCUCUGGAACAGCGAAGCUGCAAAGCGAGGCCUCAGGGAAGAGGGCAAGUCAUGUCCUCCUGGAAGCGUUACCUUUCAGCGGAGGCUUAGUUUGGCUUCUUUAAGUUCAGGGGACAGGGAAAACUUGAAUGUCGGUGGGGAGGCUCCGCGGGUCCCGGCUCGCCGCGCCGCCCGUGGCUCCUGGACGCUGCGGUCGGGGUUUCCCCUGAGCUUUCCGCGGCGUAGCGACGCCAGCCGGAGCCGGAGCCGGAGCCGCCGCCUGACUUGCCAAGCCAGCAUCGUGCGACGAUCGAGCCUUGGGCAAGCCAGCUCCGGGCCGCUGCUAAUCCAUAUGGUGCUAUUCCUGUACCUACUCAAAGCUUGCUAGGACCAGCUCCAAGCCAGCCCCUUAACCCCCACUGUGCUGGGAAGUAAAGCAAAACGCAAAAAAGAGAAAAAGAAAAAAAGAAAAAAAAUUGCUUUGUGGGCUGAGAAACAUUGUUUUUAAGGUGUUUUUGUGUGUUUCUGGGCUUUUGGUUUUCUUUCCUUUUCGUUACCCCCGCGGCAAGCUCUCGGAGGGUUGGAGGCGGGGGGCGACCCCGCUUCCCGGAGAGCGCGGGUUGCUGGUGGCUAACGGCACGUCGGCCGGGCGCUGUCGCCGCGGGGAGGGGGGGAACGGCGGUGCCGGUGCCUGCCGGAUUCCCACGCGGCGUUUCCGUGGGCUGUGCCGAGCGCCUCUUCCUCCUGCUCCCGUCCUUGCCCCGCUCGGCUCGCCGCUGCCGCCACCUGCAAUGCCUUGGAUUUCCACGCGCCUCUCGGACUUUCCGUUUGCACCGGCCGGGUGAAGGAGCUGCCCCGCGUGGGGCAGGAAUUAGGGGGAGGGCGAGCCGGGGGCGAAAACGGAGCGGAGAAGGGACGGCGGCUCAGCUCGGCUCGGCGCAGGCUCCCGCUCUCGCCGCUCCGGCCGACGGCACGAAGAGGACGGUCGCGGGGGCGGGGGGGGGGCGACGGAUUCGGCCUCGAUUCCCCCUUUUGUAGCACAAAUCCCAAACCCAGCCUGUGGAUCGGCGCGCGGGCGAGCGCCCCGGCCCGGCCGCGGAGGAGCUCGGGGGCUCUCACGGCAUGCGUCUGACUGUGAUCCCGACAUGUCGACUGGCUUAAUAAAACCCGAGAUGUUUGUACCCCUCGUUUCGUG